rnacentral:misc_RNA from 1 species
AGUAUGGUUUGUUUUCACGUUAUUCAACUCUUAAUGAUAAUGAGACGCGAUUGUUAGAUGUUGAUCUCUCCAACGAAGAAAGCAAAAGGCGUUUGUUUAACAGGCUGUUGUAUAGGAGCAGGCAAAGAGGGUUCCUGGAGCUGGAUUUGGUUCUCGGUAAAUGGGUAGAAGAUCAUAUUUUUUCCAUGGACGAAAGUGGAAUUAAAGCACUUAUUAAUGUCCUUGACUUGGAAAAUCCAGAUCUUUGGAAGUGGUUAACUGGUCAGGAGCAACCCCCAGAGGCUGUGAGCAUAAAUCCUGUCUUUUCUGCGGUGCGUGAUAAGAUCAUUAACAAUCUUAAUAGCCAUGCUGCUCCUGAAACACGAGCUAUAGCUGGACAGCCAUGGGUAAGAGGGUGGGAUGAUAUCAAGAAAAGUCCCGGCAGCCCUGUGGCUGGGAAUCAGUAGCUGUUCUAUUGUUAAGCUGGAAGAUUUAUUGGCUUGCAACAUAUGAAAAAGAAUAAUAUAUUUUGUCAUAUAAUCUACAUAGCGUGAUUUGAACAAGAGCUACUUACUGUAACGAAGUCAAGAAAUUUAGUGCCCUCUCCUUAUAGGUUCAUGAACCAUUUGCAAGUUGUAUCUUAGAGUGAGAAAUUUUUCUGUGAAAUGUUUUUUUUUUUUUUU